rnacentral:rRNA from 1 species
AGUGAACGCUGGCGGUAGGCCUAACACAUGCAAGUCGAACGGCAGCACAGUAAGAGCUUGCUCUUACGGGUGGCGAGUGGCGGACGGGUGAGGAAUACAUCGGAAUCUACUUUUUCGUGGGUGAUAACGUAGGGAAACUUACGCUAAUACCGCAUACGACCUACGGGUGAAAGCAGGGGAUCUUCGGACCUUGCGCGAUUGAAUGAGCCGAUGUCGGAUUAGCUAGUUGGCGGGGUAAAGGCCCACCAAGGCGACGAUCCGUAGCUGGUCUGAGAGGAUGAUCAGCCACACUGGAACUGAGACACGGUCCAGACUCCUACGGGAGGCAGCAGUGGGGAAUAUUGGACAAUGGGCGCAAGCCUGAUCCAGCCAUACCGCGUGGGUGAAGAAGGCCUUCGGGUUGUAAAGCCCUUUUGUUGGGAAAGAAAAGCAGCAGGUUAAUACCCCGCUGUUCUGACGGUACCCAAAGAAUAAGCACCGACUAACUUCGUG